rnacentral:misc_RNA from 1 species
GAUGAAGAACGUAGCGAAAUGCGAUAAGUAAUGUGAAUUGCAGAAUUCAGUGAAUCAUCGAAUCUUUGAACGCACAUUGCGCCCCUUGGUAUUCCGAGGGGCAUGCCUGUUCGAGCGUCAUUAUAACCCCUCAAGCUCAGCUUGGUGUUGGGGCCUGCUGCACUGGCAGCCCUUAAAAUCAGUGGCGGCGCCAUCUGGCUCUAAGCGUAGUAAUUCUUCUCGCUAUGGAGUCCUGGUGGAUGCUUGCCAUCAACCCCCAAUUUUUCUAUGGUUGACCUCGGAUCAGGUAGGGAUACCCGCUGAACUUAAGCAUAUCAAUGGCGGAGGA